UUGAACGCUGGCGGCAGGCCUAACACAUGCAAGUCGAGCGGUAACAGAAAGUAGCUUGCUACUUUGCUGACGAGCGGCGGACGGGUGAGUAAUGCUUGGGAACAUGCCUUGAGGUGGGGGACAACAGUUGGAAACGACUGCUAAUACCGCAUAAUGUCUACAGACCAAAGGGGGCUUCAGCUCUCGCCUUUAGAUUGAUCCAAGUGUGAUUAGCUAGUUGGUGAGGUAAUGGCUCACCAAGGCGACGAUCCCUAGCUGGUUUGAGAGGAUGAUCAGCCACACUGGGACUGACACACGGCCCAGACUCCUACGGGAGGCAGCAGUGGGGAAUAUUGCACAAUGGGCGCAAGCCUGAUGCAGCCAUGCCGCGUGUGUGAAGAAGGCCUUCGGGUUGUAAAGCACUUUCAGUCAGGAGGAAAGGGAUGUAGUUAAUACCUGCAUCCUGUGACGUUACUGACAGAAGAAGCACCGGCUAACUCCGU
rnacentral:rRNA from 1 species